AUUGUGCAGCUUACCUGAGGUACCAAAAAAAAAAAAAAAAAAGGUUAAACAAUUAAGUUAAGCCAUCAAGUGAAUAAUGAAGUGAUGUAGACUGUCAUUGUGGAUUUCUCCAGAACAAGCUCUCCAAGUGAGACGGGUUGAACUUAACAUAUUGUCUGUAAGAAGAAUUAGGAUGAGCUGUCUCCCUCCCUUGAAGACUAUGUGUCACUAUGGGGCUCCUAAGCAAGCUUGGAACAUCUAAAUGUCAUAUAACAUGGAAGGAUUAGAAGCAAAAGCCAAAGAAAGUUAAUCCAUUAAGUAUAUAAAGGAAGAAUGAACAGCUCUGGAAGGUGGACCAGUAAGAUAAAGAAAUGAUGUCCAGUGUGAGAGUUAUAUUUAAAUAGGAAUAUAAAAGCCUCUGAGGAAAAGAUAAGAAAUAAAGGAAUUAAAAAUAAUUAUUGCUCAUCUUUGCUGCAGACUGUGCAAGUUGCAUUUCAGACAGUAUAAACUAUAGAUUAAACCAAUAAAUCAUAGUACUAUCCGUGUGCCUUCCAGAUGGCAAUUUAUCUAUAAUAAAUCCCAUAAUAUCAAGUCACUGCCAUGGACACAUGACGGGGCGUAGCUAUGGCUACAGUUUUUAUCAACAAGUCCCGUUACUCAAGUAGCGUGUAUAACAAAAUUCAUGCAGUCACCUUUUUUGGCAUUGUGAUGCUUUCAACACAGCAAGAUCAGAGUAGUUCAUCUGGGCAAAAAUAAGAAGUGUUGUGGAGCAGAAAUUAUGAUGAAAGUUUGUUUUUGCAUGGUACAUGUUAAGAUUUGUGUAAUGGAGGAGAUGUUAUUUAAAAUGAUGAGCAUUCCAAGUGGUAUAACUAGAGAAAGAGCUACUGCUAAUGAAAGGACUGUGAGAGCUUUAUAAUGCUAAUUAUCUAAGUUUUAAUUUCUUUUCAACUUAUCAUCUAAUAAUUCAAGCUUUUGUUAUUGUGUCUGUGUGUACAUGCAGGUAAUUCUAAUAAGUUGCAAAGCCAGAGAGACCAAAAUGCUUGCAGACUGUGUUGGGUCAUCCUUAAAUCAAACUGUUCUUGUAUGACCUUUUCCCAUAUUUCCACCUAAAAACUUAUCUGUUACUCAGGAAAAAUAAUUGUGUCCUCAUAAUUAAUUAAAAAUCAGUAGUCUCAGAUUCUGAGAAGUGGAAGUGUAGAAUUAGAUCUGUGUUUGAAGUCAGCACUGACAAUGGUGUGUAUUCUCUUUGUGUGUAAGUAGAUUGCUAACCCCAAAACUUUGUAAGAUCUCAUCUUGAAUUGUACUGUGGAGAUUUCUGAAAUAAUCAUGGUAAAUCUUACGAAAGUGUUUGCAAUUAAAAAGAAAAAUCUUAUUAAAAAUCUUUAAAAUCUGUACAUAUCACCCUGAAAUAAAUAUAAAAUGAAG
ensembl:lncRNA